rnacentral:rRNA from 1 species
GAUGAACGCUGGCGGCGUGCCUAAUACAUGCAAGUCGAGCGAACGGACGAGAAGCUUGCUUCUCUGAUGUUAGCGGCGGACGGGUGAGUAACACGUGGAUAACCUACCUAUAAGACUGGGAUAACUUCGGGAAACCGGAGCUAAUACCGGAUGAUAUUUUGAACCGCAUGGUUCAAAAGUGAAAGACGGUCUUGCUGUCACUUAUAGAUGGAUCCGCGCUGCAUUAGCUAGUUGGUAAGGUAACGGCUUACCAAGGCAACGAUGCAUAGCCGACCUGAGAGGGUGAUCGGACACACUGGAACUGAGACACGGUCCAGACUCCUACGGGAGGCAGCAGUAGGGAAUCUUCCGCAAUGGGCGAAAGCCUGACGGAGCAAAGCCGCGUGAGUGAUGAAGGUCUUCGGAUCGUAAAACUCUGUUAUUAGGGAAGAACAUAUGUGUAAGUAACUGUGCACAUCUUGACGGUACCUAAUCAGAAAGCCACGGCUAACUACGUG